rnacentral:rRNA from 1 species
CCUACGGGAGGCAGCAGUGGGGAAUAUUGCACAAUGGGCGAAACCCUGAUGCAGCGACGCCGCGUGAAGGAAGACGUAUUUCGGUAUUGAAACUUCUAUCAGCAGGGAAGAAAAUUACGGUACCUGACUAAUAAGCCCCGGCUAACUACGUGCCAGCAGCCGCGGUAAUGCGUCGGGGGCAAGCGUUAUCCGGAUUUACUGGGUGUAAAGGGAGCUUAGGCGGUUUAGUAAGUCCGUAGUUAAAGGACUGGGCUCAACUCCGGGACUGCUUUUGAAACUGUGGAACUAGAUUGCAGGAGAGGUAAGCGGAAUUCGUGGUGUAGCGGUGAAAUGCGUAGAUAUUAGGCGGAACACCAGUGGCGAAGGCGGCUUACUGGACUGUAAAUGACGCUGAGGCACGAAAGCGUGGGGAGCAAACAGGAUUAGAUACCCGAGUAGUC